UACGGAGGGGGUUAGCGUUGUUCGGAAUUACUGGGCGUAAAGCGUACGUAGGCGGAUCAGAAAGUUGGGGGUGAAAUCCCAGGGCUCAACCCUGGAACUGCCUCCAAAACUCCUGGUCUUGAGUUCGAGAGAGGUGAGUGGAAUUCCAAGUGUAGAGGUGAAAUUCGUAGAUAUUUGGAGGAACACCAGUGGCGAAGGCGGCUCACUGGCUCGAUACUGACGCUGAGGUACGAAAGUGUGGGAGGCAAAC
rnacentral:rRNA from 1 species